UUGAACGCUGGCGGCAUGCUUUACACAUGCAAGUCGAACGGUAACAGGCCGCAAGGUGCUGACGAGUGGCGAACGGGUGAGUAAUGCAUCGGAACGUGCCCAGUUGUGGGGGAUAACGCAGCGAAAGCUGUGCUAAUACCGCAUACGAUCUAAGGAUGAAAGCGGGGGACCGAAAGGCCUCGCGCGAUUGGAGCGGCUGAUGUCGGAUUAGCUAGUUGGUGGGGUAAAGGCCCACCAAGGCGACGAUCUGUAGCGGGUCUGAGAGGAUGAUCCGCCACACUGGGACUGAGACACGGCCCAGACUCCUACGGGAGGCAGCAGUGGGGAAUUUUGGACAAUGGGCGCAAGCCUGAUCCAGCCAUGCCGCGUGCGGGACGAAGGCCUUCGGGUUGUAAACCGCUUUCAGCCGGAAAGAAAUCGUCAAGGCUAAUAUCCUUGAUGGACGACGGUACCGGAAGAAGAAGCACCGGCUAACUACGU
rnacentral:rRNA from 1 species